rnacentral:rRNA from 1 species
AUUGAACGCUGGCGGCAGGCCUAACACAUGCAAGUCGAGCGGAUGAAGGGAGCUUGCUCCUGGAUUCAGCGGCGGACGGGUGAGUAAUGCCUAGGAAUCUGCCUGGGAGUGGGGGAUAACGUUCGGAAACGGGCGCUAAUACCGCAUACGUCCUGAGGGAGAAAGUGGGGGAUCUUCGGACCUCACGCUAUCAGAUGAGCCUAGGUCGGAUUAGCUAGUUGGUGGGGUAAAGGCCUACCAAGGCGACGAUCCGUAACUGGUCUGAGAGGAUGAUCAGUCACACUGGAACUGAGACACGGUCCAGACUACUACGGGAGGCAGCAGUGGGGAAUAUUGGACAAUGGGCGAAAGCCUGAUCCAGCCAUGCCGCGUGUGUGAAGAAGGUCUUCGGAUUGUAAAGCACUUUAAGUUGGGAGGAAGGGCAGUAAGUUAAUACCUUGCUGUUUUGACGUUACCAACAGAAUAAGCACCGGCUAACUUCGUG